UGGGGAAUAUUGCGCAAUGGGGGAAACCCUGACGCAGCAACGCCGCGUGAAGGAUGAAGGUUUUCGGAUCGUAAACUUCUUUGAUGAGGGACGAACAAAAUGACGGUACCUCAAAAACAAGCCACGGCUAACUACGUGCCAGCAGCCGCGGUAAUACGUAGGUGGCGAGCGUUGUCCGGAAUUACUGGGUGUAAAGGGCGUGUAGGCGGGGAUGUAAGUCAGAUGUGAAAUUCCAUGGCUCAACUGUGGGGCUGCAUCUGAAACUAUGUCUCUUGAGUGCCGGAGAGGGAAGCGGAAUUCCUAGUGUAGCGGUGAAAUGCGUAGAUAUUAGGAGGAGCACCAGUGGCGAAGGCGGCUUUCUGGACGGUAACUGACGCUGAGGCGCGAAAGCGUGGGGAGCAAACA
rnacentral:rRNA from 1 species